AGCCCCUGUGACGCGUCUGAGUUUAACCUUCUGUCUGUGGUACAACCGUUCUUCUUAUACGUCAGUGGUACAACACGGAAGAAGGUCUUCGCUGCAAUAAUUUGACACUUCUGCUUGUUCACUUCGAGUAACUACAUGUCUAUUCUUCCUCAAGAAGAAUUGGUCAAGAAAUGGGAAAGUGAACAGGCCAGCCUGAGGCAGCAGGUGGUGGAGGAGGACACAGAGGAUUGGCAGAGAUGUCCCGACUUCACCGGGCUGGAGAGGGUUGGAGGAGUGGACCUGUCGUUCAUCAAAGGAGAUGACGUCAGCGCCUGUGCCCAGCUAGUUGUGCUCAGCUACCCAGACCUAGAGCUGCUGUAUGAGGACAGUCAGAUGGUGACCCUGACCGCCCCCUACAUCUCAGGGUUCCUGGCCUUCAGGGAGACCCCCUAUCUGCUGGAGGCCCUGCAGCGCCUGGAGACGACCCAGCCCAGCCUGCUACCUCAGGUGGUCUUGGUGGAUGGGAAUGGUCUGUUCCACUACAGAGAGUUUGGCCUGGCGUGUCACCUGGGAGUUCUGUCAGGGCUUCCCUGUAUAGGUGUGGCCAAGAACCUCCUGCAGGUGCAGGGUGUGGAGAAGAACGAGAAACACCAGUCACAGAUUGCCUCAUUGCAGAAGGGAGGAGAGAGCUUCCCUCUGACUAGCGACUCAGGAAAAGUGCUGGGGAAGGCCCUGCGUAGUUCUGACAGCAGUACCAAACCAGUGUAUGUUUCAGUGGGCCACAAGAUCAGCCUGGACACGGCCCUGCGCCUCACACACUCCUGCUGCCGCUACCGUGUUCCAGAGCCUAUCAGACAGGCGGACAUGCGCUCCAGAGAGUACCUCCGUGUCCACUUCCCAACCGCUGCAGACACCUGAGCAUAGAGGAGAUUGGCUGCCAGCCCAGUGCUGAGCCCUUAAUGUCCUUACAGAGGGUAUUCCACGUACUAGUGUGAUCCCAGGACAGCCUCUCUGCAGGGGAAGGUGUGGGAGUGCUGGGAAGUGGACACAUCAUGAAAUGCAAAACACAACAGUGAUGCCUAACAAGAAGAUAGCCGAAGAGCCUUCAACGUGCCUGUUAGUGUGUGAAUGUGUUUUUGCGUGUGAGAGAGUGGGUGGGUGCAUGAGAGAGAUUUACAUGAGAUUUACAGUGUUUUUAUGCAUUCUCUUUAUAUCUACAGUAUAGUCUAUGGGUAUUUUUAAGAAUAGAAGAAUAUAUUUAUAUACUGUACUCAUGUUUUGGGCUCUUUUUACACAGAGAUGCUUUUUAUCCUGUAAAUAAAUCCCAACUGAGCCCUGA